AACGAACGCUGGCGGCAUGCCUAACACAUGCAAGUCGAACGAGACCUUCGGGUCUAGUGGCGCACGGGGGCGUAACGCGUGGGAACCUGCCCUUAGGUUCGGAAUAACUCCCCGAAAGGGGUGCUAAUACCGGAUAAUGUCUUCGGACCAAAGAUUUAUCGCCUUUGGAUGGGCCCGCGUUGGAUUAGCUAGUUGGUAGGGUAAAAGCCUACCAAGGCGACGAUGCAUAGCUGGUCUGGGAGGAUGAUCAGCCACACUGGGACUGAGACACGGCCCAGACUCGUACGGGAGGGAGCAGUGGGGAAUAUAGGACACUGGGCGCAAGCCUGAUACAGCCAUGCCGCGUGAGUGAUGAAGGCCUUAGGGUUGUAAAGCUCUUUUACCCGGGAUGAUAAUGACAGUACCGGGAGAAUAAGCUCCGGCUAACUACGUG
rnacentral:rRNA from 1 species